rnacentral:miRNA from 1 species
AGGGUGCAGGAGAAUUCAAGAAAAAAAUUAUGUAUAGUAUCGUAUAUUACACAUAAUUUUUUUCUUGAAUUCUCCUGCACCCU